rnacentral:tRNA from 1 species
GCCCGAGUAGCUCAGGGGUAGAGCAGAGGAUUGAAAAUCCUCGUGUCGGUGGUUCGAUUCCGCCCUCGGGCA